AACGAACGCUGGCGGCAGGCUUAACACAUGCAAGUCGAACGCACCGCAAGGUGAGUGGCAGACGGGUGAGUAACGCGUGGGAACGUGCCCUUCAGUUCGGAAUAACCCAGGGAAACUUGGGCUAAUACCGGAUACGUGCGAGAGCAGAAAGAUUUAUCGCUGAAGGAUCGGCCCGCGUCUGAUUGGCUGGUUGGUAGGGUAAUGGCCUACCAAGGCGACGAUCAGUAGCUGGUCUGAGAGGAUGAUCAGCCACACUGGGACUGAGACACGGCCCAGACUCCUACGUGAGGCAGCCGUGGGGAAUAUUGGACAAUGGGCGCAAGCCUGAUCCAGCCAUGCCGCGCGAGUGAUGACGGCCUUAGGGUUGUAAAGCUCUUUCGGCGGGGACGAUAAUGACGGUACCCGCAGAAGAAGCCCCGGCUAACUUCGUGCCAGCCGCCGCUGUAAAAC
rnacentral:rRNA from 1 species